rnacentral:rRNA from 1 species
AUUGAACGCUGGCGGCAUGCUUUACACAUGCAAGUCGAACGGUAACGGGGACUUCGGUCUGCCGACGAGUGGCGAACGGGUGAGUAAUAUAUCGGAACGUGCCCAGUAAUGGGGGAUAGCUCGGCGAAAGCCGGAUUAAUACCGCAUACGCCCUGAGGGGGAAAGUGGGGAGUCUUCGGACCUCACGUUAUUGGAGCGGCCGAUAUCAGAUUAGCUAGUUGGUGGGUAAAGGCCGUACCAAGGCGACGAUCUGUAGCUGGUCUGAGAGGAUGAUCAGCCACACUGGGACUGAGACACGGCCCAGACUCCUACGGGAGGCGAGCAG